ACUAAAAACAAAACAAAACCCAACACAUUGUAAAAAGGAAGAGGUUCAUUUAACUAUAGAAGGGGGAAAAAUGAAGGCACAUGAUUUUAAUUCAGUCCCACAAUCCUUAAGAAAAAUAGAUUUGUGUGUGUGUGUGUGCGCGUGCUCACGCAUGCAUGCAUGGGUUUUUGCAUGAAGUAUGAAGCCCAUUGGACAGUUACCAAAAGAAACUAGAAAAGAAAAUGAGAGAAUUUGGGAUAGAGAGAAGAAAGGAGGAGGAAAUGGAGGCCUCUCUUCAGCUUUUUGUCACUGACAGUCUUAAAAUUUGGCUGCUUUCGGGUCCAGAAAACAAUUCAUUUGUCUUGGUCUGGAAAGUGCCCCAGUUAUAAAUAUCUCCAGUUAAUCGUGUUACAGCUUUUGGUGUUUCCCUUUUCCCUUCCCUCCAGCCAAAUGAUUUUUUUUUUUAAAUAUCACAGUUUUUAAAAAUUAUUUUUUCAAUGUUGAAAAAAUAUGGAAAAGCUAUUGAACAGCCUCAGGGCGCACUGCCUCUCCAUCUUCACAGUGAGCAGAUGGAUGGACGAUCCAGAGUCAAAGAGGAGGCGGGCGGCAAGAGCCCUUGUGCUGAGUGGUCCCUUGCUUUACCUCCUGAGGGCCAGGGCCUUCACCGCGCCCACAGCCGUUUUCUACUUGGAUUCCACCCCCUCCCAUCCACGGAACGUGGGCGGCUGAGAAAGGCAGAGCCACGCUCCUGAGUCAUAUAGACUGUUCAGAAACCCCUCUACUACAAGAUCUGUAAAUACCACUGUGAACAGAAGGUGUAUUCUGUGGACCACUGCAAGAAUACCCUCAGGCCUGUUAUGGUACUUUUGCCUGGGAGAAAGGAGGCUGGGCUCUGGAGAAGAAAAUCUUUGGUGACAGAACUGGAGUAGAUAUCCAAGUUUCAAGAAGAACUUGUCCCCAGUGCCUCAACGAAAGUAUCUAAGAAUAGUUAAGCUGGAAUCCCUUCAGGACACUGUAUGUAAUUGGAAAAGUCUUAUGAAUUCUUGAUCAAGACCAAAGAGAGAAAUCCCAACUAGAAAGAGCAGCAUCUGGGAUAAUGCCGGAGAUUCAUGGCCUUUUGAAAGCUGGAUGUUAGCACAGAGAAACUGUUAAUUUCCAAAAAAGCAAGAGUCAAUAAUCAACUGAAGAAUGCUCAUCCUACUCAGCCCUGUCAGCCAUGGUGGAAAGAGGCAGGGGCUGUGAAAGGAAGAACUGUGGUUUGUAACAGGCUUCUCAUAGCGAUGCUCAUACAGUGGAGAGGAUGAGGAGGCAGGGUAGAGGCAUGUGGACUCCUUCUCCUGGUGGACAAAGGAAACGAAUCCCUGUGGCAAGAUCUCUAGACCACUAGUGUUUCACCAGAGGCAAAAAAAAAAAAAAAAAAAAAAAAAAAAGCAAGGUUAAUGGAAACUCUAGAAUCCUAAGAGCUCAGUGAGAUUUUGGAGAAGUAAGAAAUCUGUUUCUAAAAGAGCACAUCCCUCCCUUGACAAAGGACAGAAUUCUAGAUGGAUGGGUGAUAACUAUUCAGUGGAGCCACUUAAGCUUGCUAGAAGUCAAAGA